GACGAACGCUGGCGGCGUGCUUAACACAUGCAAGUCGAGCGGUAAGGCCCUUUCGGGGGUACGACGAGCGGCGAACGGGUGAGUAACACGUGGGUGACCUGCCCUCAGCUCUGGGAUAAGCCUGGGAAACUGGGUCUAAUACUGGAUAUGACUCCACGGUGCAUGUCGUGGGGUGGAAAGCCUUGUGCGGCUGAGGAUGGGCCCGCGGCCUAUCAGCUUGUUGGUGGGGUGAGGCCUACCAAGGCGACGACGGGUAGCCGGCCUGAGAGGGCGACCGGCCACACUGGGACUGAGACACGGCCCAGACUCCUACGGGAGGCAGCAGUGGGGAAUCUUGCGCAAUGGGCGAAAGCCUGACGCAGCGACGCCGCGUGAGGGA
rnacentral:rRNA from 1 species